ensembl:misc_RNA Metazoa_SRP Metazoan signal recognition particle RNA
GCCGGGUGUGGUAGCUCACACCUGUAAUCCUAGCAGUUUGGGAGGCUGAGGUGGGCGGAUUGCCUGAGCUCAGGAGUUCUACACCAGCCUGGGCAACACGGCAAAACCCCAUCUCUA